GGUCUACGGGAGGCAGCAGUGGGGAAUAUUGCACAAUGGGGGAAACCCUGAUGCAGCGACGCCGCGUGAGUGAAGAAGUAUUUCGGUACGUAAAGCUCUAUCAGCAGGGAAGAAAUAAAGUCCUUUGGACUUUGGACGGUACCUGACUAAGAAGCCCCGGCUAACUACGUGCCAGCAGCCGCGGUAAUACGUAGGGGGCAAGCGUUAUCCGGAUUUACUGGGUGUAAAGGGAGCGUAGACGGCGAUGCAAGUCUGAAGUGAAAGCCCGGGGCUCAACCCCGGGACUGCUUUGGAAACUGUAUGGC
rnacentral:rRNA from 1 species